rnacentral:rRNA from 1 species
AGCAGUCGCCGCGGUAAUACGAAGGGGGCUAGCGUUGCUCGGAAUGACUGGGCGUAAAGGGCGCGUAGGCGGCGGCCAAAGUCAGGCGUGAAAUUCCCUGGCUCAACCUGGGGUCUGCGUUUGAUACUUGGUUGCUUGAGUGGGGAAGAGGGUCGUGGAAUUCCCAGUGUAGAGGUGAAAUUCGUAGAUAUUGGGAAGAACACCGGUGGCAAAGGCGGCGACCUGGUCCUUUACUGACGCUGAGGCGCGAAAGCGUGGGGAGCAAACAGGAUUAGAUACCCCGGUAGUCCCUGUCUCUUAUAC